rnacentral:rRNA from 1 species
CACGGGGUUGCGAGCGUUGUCCGGAAUUACUAGGCGUAAAGGGCAGGCAGGCGGAUCCAUAAGUUUAUCGUUUAAGGCGUCGGCUUAACCGGCGUAGGGCGGUAGAUACUGUGGAUCUGGAAUGCGGUUGGGGAAGACAGAAUUCCUGGUAUAGCGGUGGAAUGCGCAGAGAUCAGGAGGAAUACCGAAGGCGAAGGCAGUCUUCCAAGCCGUUAUUGACGCUCAACUGCGAAGGUGUGGGUAUCAAACAGGAUUAGAUACCCCGUAGUCCCUGAG